rnacentral:lncRNA from 1 species
AAAACUAAAAUGUGUACGUGUAUGAGAGAGAGAGAGAGAGAGAGAGAGAGAGAGAGAGAGAGAGAGAUAUGAAGCUAGAAUCGAAAGGAUCGAUGAUCAUGAUUACUCACUUGAUGAAGCGGUUGUAGGCUGAGGGGACUCUCUGUCUCUUCUCCGGAGCUGAACAACGCAUUCAAAGACACAGACAUUAAGAAUCAUCUUCAUGACCUAGCUACCUUAUAAGUAUACUUAAUUAUGAUCCAGCAAUCUGCGACGUUAUCAAGUAACUAUAUACAAUUUGCGGCCGGGGAAGAAUGGUCUAAGGAAUUAUUGCCGGCCUGCUACAUUUCAGAGGGGAUUUAUACCAGAAAGGACCUAAAACAUGAUUAAUGAGGCUAAGUUCAUAAACUAUAAAAGAAUAUACCCAUAAAAGAAAAGCUUAAAGCAUCAUAUUUCAGAAGAGUGUCCGUCCUAUUACACUUUAAGCGUGCAAAUGGAAAAGAUGAAACAUUGGAACCGUCUUGUCAAGUAUACAUAUACAGAAGCUUUAGACACAUUAUGUCUCAGCUUAAUUACUAGAUUGUUCCUAUGCAUAAUUUCUUGAAUGUUGAAAAGGACUGAUGAAGUCUGUGAAAGUGUGAAGAAUUUCAUUUCUUUGGUCUGUUAACAACAAAUAAAUGUUUGAGGAAAGCUAGCAAAGUUAAAUUCUAGCUACUGAAAUCUUGCCUGCAACGGAAGCUAGCAUAGAAGGGGUUGAUUAUAAAUCUGCGAACUUGGUUUUAUCCUCGUCUACCAGAUAGAAAGACCUUGGUAACUUCAGGGAUUAGAGGGAAGAAUUAAAGAUGCCCAAACUUAUUAAACUUUUCUUCAAUGAGUACCAAAAUGAAACCAGAAAUGAACUAUCCUGGGUUCUAGACCAAAAUACUUCGUAGAAAGCUAUAUAAUAUAAUAUAGGGUCUACUAACAGCUACCCGUCUGAACUUAUAAGCUCUAGGGCUAGGUAAUUAACACAGAUAAUAAGAUCAAAAGUGAAAGGAUGCGUGUAAUUAAGGAAGAAAGUUGCUCACGUCUGUUAAUAACUGGAGGCCUUGGGAGCUCAUCAGCUACUCCUCCUCUUGGUCUUACAGCAAAGUCAUUCAGGCUGCUAGUUUGAUUGUUCAUCAGAAAGUUUGGGGUUGGAUUCAUUAACGGAAUCUCCUGAUCCUGAAGCACAAUAUUUACGGUGAAUUUACCAAUAUAUAGAAUCAAGUUUUUCAAAAGGUUAUUCGAUCAAGUGUAUAUAGGUAUACCAGAAGGUUAUGGGAAUUUGGCUGGGAGAAGAAGGAGUGACCGAGAUGAUGAAACUGAUUUGGGGAAGGCAGAAGCAACCCGCGCAUGUUCACCGGAAGCAGGUUGGUGCAGUGGCCACAUCGUACCGUCACAGUCUUGAACAAACUUGUGCAAGGAACACUCACCUGCAUACAUCAAACCAGAAACAUAAGCAGAACACAUAUAAAAUCAAUUGAAAGAGCAAAACAGCCCCCAAAACUAAGCCUAAACAGCAUAAUAUAUGGAAGAGAUUAACAGAAGAAACCAAGGAUGGAGGUUGAAUAUGGAGGUGGGGUUUACCGCAAGGACAGUGUCGCAAAUGUUGCAAUGGACAUAGCAGAGCUGCUCGGAAGGAGCAAGGUGGUCGAGGGACAAGGUCGAAGAAGCAGAAUUAGAGGAUGACAUGAUGAUUCCUUUUCCUAUCUUUUCUUUUAUAAAUUUGAUUGGUGAUUGAUGAUUGGUCUCUCUUUGGGGUUUGAUUGAUUGAUUGACGGAUGACAGCUUAACCACCACCUUGGAUCUGCUUUUCUACAAUUCUUUCUUUCUUUGAUUAUGAGUUGUGAAAGAAAGGUGUGAAACAAAGAGAGAGAUAGAGAGAGAGGUAGUGAGAGAGAGAGAGAGAGAGAGAGACAGAUGGGGAUCAAGGGAUAUCUAUUUGGUCUACUAGAUAUAAGAGAGCUGUGCUGGGAACCAGAGACCCUUCCAUUCUCUCCCCUCUAUUUAUUGGUGCUGUGUGAUUUUUUUUUUUACUGUGAUUAUCCUGUUGAUUCAUACUGUUCACCCAAUUAUUAUUGUCACUUCGAACUCCAAAAAAUUCUGGAGUUAGCUAGCUAGUAGUGAUUGUCUAAAGGGAUAUCGAUCACCUUCGAUCUGUAUUCCAAUACGUUAUGAACUCGUGAUUUAAGUUCAUUCUUGUCUAGUUUCUAACCAUAUAUACAUCAAACCGACCUCUAGGCUUUAGCUAGUUGUAUUUAUGUUGUUUAUACACUUGACUGAGACUAAAUAUAUGAUAAAAUAGUCUGGGGUUCACAUCUAAAACCAAUUGGCAAUAGAUGGAGUGGUCCAAACCCUUAUAAACCACAGGCAAUGUCCCAUUUUUUCUGAUGUGGGAUAUAUAUCUCAACACGCCCCCGCACGUGUGACGAAUCUUCAAGCCUAACACGUGGACAACAUUUGGGGUGACGUGGAGUUCGUGUGGCCUUUAGGCUUCACACGUGGACGUGGGUAACCCGCUCUGAUACUAUGAUAAAGUAGUCUGGGGUUCACAUCUAAAACCAAUUGGCAAUGAAUGAAUUGGCCGGCCCAAACCCUUAUAAAUCACAGACAAUGUCUCAUUUUUCCUGAUGUGGGAUAUAUAUCUCAACAAUAUAAAGAGUUAGGAUGUUAAAUUGUUAAACAUUACUAUAAUACUAACCCCUACUCAUAUAUUUACAAGAAAUUACAAAUGUGACAAAAAUUUGUUGUCUGAGUGCUAAUGUUGAUUACUGUUUCGUGUAAUCUUAGUUUUCGUAAUGGUAAUUAGACAACGUACAACAUUUUACAAGUCUUUGAACAGAUUCAUUGUCAGUGUUGUAAUUUUUGUUUAAAUUUACUAACUAGCCAGUGUACGUAAAUGAAUAAAUUAACUUUGUCAAGUAUAUGUACGUAUUGGGAUUUGACUAGAGUUGAAAAAUGUAUCAAGAAACAGCACUAAAUAUCACCACCGGUCGAUCAUCCGAUGUCUAUGACCGGCCAUGCAUGUAUAUAACGUCCAUGAUUCAUCAUCCAUGUCCAUGAUCACCAAAGAUAAACAUGCGCAUGCAUGGUGUUAAUUAUCCCAUAAUCAACACAGAUAUGUGGUUGGCACUCCCGAUGCCAUAGCUAAGCUGCUUAGCUAGCUCAGAGAGAGAGAGAGAGAGAGGCGGUAGAUGUGGGGGAGAGGAGCUCGAAAGAGACGUGUGCAUGGCGGUGAUAUUGCUUUCACACAAACACACAUACACAACACUCAUCAUCUGUUGUUUUCAGAACUUAAAGAGGGUGUUGUCUUCACUCUUGCGGUGCAGUUGGUUUUCAAAUUUUCUCUUUCGAGCUCGGCCUCAAUUUCCGAACCCACUCCCAAAAUAACUCCAUGACUCCCUUCUAUACCUCCCGGACAAUAAGCCCUUCUCCACCCCCUCUUUGUUUGGCCCUCCGCCCCCUUCUCCGCCUCGACAGGGCGCUCUCCUCGAUCCAUCUAUAUCUUCCUGCUUCCCUAUCCUCACCCCGUGAUGAUCAACCCCACCAACCCCAUCAUAACACAAUCAUGCAUACACGACUCGUAAUACAUAAUGCCAAAAUUUUCUAAUUCUGUAAAAUGAUUAAUUUCUAAUGUCUAUUAUAUAUAAAAGCUAGCUAGCUAGCUAUAGUACUGGAAUUCUGUAGACGUUCAGUGAUUUGACCACUCGAUCUCCCUCGUCUAACGCACAGCGCAGACAGAUACGUAUUUAAGUAGUCAGUACUCAGUAAGAAACAUAUAUCUCAGUAGCUAUAUUGCCAGGCACCUCCUUACCACCUUUGUCCUUUCCUAUAUUUAUUUCUGCUUUUCUUUUCUGGCUUCUCUUUUAGCUAUUUUGGUUAGAAUCUUUCUCUGAUCCUUUACAUAACUCUAGGGUUUUUGUUACAUAGUUUGCAAAGCCACCUAGCUAGCUAUAUACAGCUACCCUGUAACUAUCUUUGAAAAAAGAUAGUCGCCCAGUUCCCGUAGAUAUUUACCAUUGUUUCCUUGAUCGAUUAAUUAGGGUUCAAAGAUCGAUCAUGCGGAUCAAAUUUCCAGAACGAUCGCCAUCUUACCAUAAAUGGCCUAAUUGGAUUUCCUCUUCCCCAGAAAAUUCAUAGUGUUGUUGUUAUUAUUCAUCCAUGAUGAUUCAUAUGAUCGGAUGCAUUCACUCUCACUCACAAAUGAGAAGUUGGGGGGGGGGGGGGGGGUCCUGCAUGUGUACAUAACUCGUAUGCAAGAAGCUAGAACAUUAAAUGUGUGGUAAUGGGGGAAAAGGUUGUAAAGUUUCACAAAUGACUAAUUCAAACUUACUUCACAGUUUUUCAAACUGUACAUGACAUUAACGAACAGGUUGAAAGGGAAAUGAGCCUGAGAAUCUGAGACAGACACUUGAAUGAGUGCUCCUAGUCCUCGAUUUUCCUAAAGAUGAAGUUCAAAGUAUUUAUUUGACGGCCAAAGAAAAGCAAACUCAUCAAAAGGACACUGAAACAAAAAAGCUACAUCGCGCAUGGAAUUAGCAUGCAUCCACAAAUUAAAGGUCCCUUUAUACACGAUGAGGAACUUAUAAGAACAGUGGUUUCUUUUAAUUAUCACUGUCCAUGUAUCUGUUACUGAUUAAUUUGGGUUUGAAGUAGGUAGAACUGAUUGAAGUACUGUUUAACUUGGAAAUUUUGCCUAGAUAUGUUUGAAGUGAUGCAUGGCAAGAAAAACUGUUUUGUUUAUCAUCAGCAAAAUGAUUUUGAUACCACUCAUCGAUGAUCGGCAUGAUCAAUCUAGCUAGUAUGUUUCUGAUGAUCUUGAGUUCAAACUGAUCUAAUUCAACUUGCAACAUUUGCAUGAUGCCAGAUGCAUGGACUUAUCUGAUGCUUAUGCAUAAUCACAUAUAUACAUGCACAGUAAUAUCGAGCAGUGUAUGAACGUACGAAUGAGGAAAAAGUUAUCACUGUAAAAAGCCUGCUAGGAGCUAUUUGUUGCUGUUUGUGGGGAUAUGUGGAUCUUUGAAUCUUUCUUACACAGUCUCUCUCUCUCGACCUCUCUCGCUCUGAUGGAAGAAGGAGAUCGAUAUAUUUUGGAAUGGGGGCAUUUUUGGUACAUGUACGUAUGAUGGGGUUGGGUAAGAACCGAUAAAGUUGAAAUUCAGAGUUGCUCCGUUGUCUGAUAUAUGUAUGUUGGCAUCUCGAUCCAACUGUGGCCCUCUUCGGCUUUGGCUAGCUCCUCUCUAGAUAUUUGCAGUGAAUGAGCGCAACAUACAGCAAUUAGUUUAAAAGCGCGGGCGGUGGUGAAGGCCCUAGCUGGUACACACACAUACACACACCUUUAGCUUCUUUAAUAUUAGCCUUUAGCUGUUGAGUGCUGGUGAUCGAUGAAUAGCUCGAUCAUCAGCCCUUUAGAUAUCGAUCCCAACAGCUAAACCCCACAGGCAAUCGUUGAGGCCAUGUUGUUGCAUGGGCAUGAGGAAUUUCUUGUUCUUUCUGAACCCACACAAAGGACAAGCAUAUAAUGGCAAAUGUCCUACAAAAGGGAUGGGGUUAGAGAGGAACCAAAGGCCUGCCCUUGCCCUUUCCUGGCCUUUUAAUCGAUCACUCUGAGGUGAUUGAUUCAACUGAGAAGAUGACAAAUAAGGAGCUAGCUGCUGCUACUUGCGCAUUGACUCGGUCGACUAACUUUGGACCCUAGCUACAUAGCCUCGCUCUGAUUUCAACAAAAGAUCCAACCAGCUAGGUCUUGUUUCGAUCAUCGAUCUAACUAGAUUUUCUCAUUUUCUUGUUGGUUCGAACCGGAUGUCCAAUAACCUGUUGCUUUUUCUAAGUCGAUCUCUAAAGAUGAUCGAGGCUCUGAACUAAUUGAGUCUAAUAUACAUUGGGUACGAACUGUUUUAAAAGUACGUAAACCUAGUGGCCUAAUGCAACACAUGCAUGUCAAUAUCAAACAUUUCUCACAGUUAUGUUUGUGUCAUUGAUUAUCAUGGCAAGAAAAGUUGCAGAGCUAGCGAAGUGUAGACGCUUGAGCUAGCCAAUAUUUUCAACAUGCAUGAUGCCAUCAAGGUCCAAAAUUAAGACCUUGAGCUCACCUUAAAAACCACCACACUGGUUUACACACUUCAUUUAUCAUUAACAUAGAAUGUUAAUGUCUAUGUUAAUGAUAAAUUUGGUCUUAUAGACCCCAGUAGGUUCAGUAACCCCCUAUCAUGAGUAUUAUCAUUUCGACUCUGGAAAAGAAAGAACAUGAAAGUAUUGGCCAAGGCUCAAGACUCAAGAGUCAUGAGUCAUGAACUCAUGACACAAAAGAUGAAAAGGUACCCAGCAAGAUUUAAAAAUCCAUCACCAAGCAAGAUGCUUCAAAUCGGGUUAACGGGCCACGGAGGCCGCUUUAGAGGUUAAAGGCCCAACUAUAUUUUUGUAAGAUGAUUGGAAAAAAAAUGUGAACUAUAUCCAAUUAUCCAUACAAAAAAGCAGUUUAUCUAGUCUCAUAGAUGUUGAUAUUUGACUUGGCAACAAGUGGCAAACCACAAACCUUAGAACAAACACGUCUCGUGUGUACUCCUCUCAGCCAGAAGUCGAUGCUUCAUCAAAGGUGCACAUAGAACCUUCCCAAUCCAUUUUUAUCUCAAAUUCUAGUUUCUGUGUUCUUCUUGCAUCCUUGGCAACAAGAUCAACACCGCUCUGAAAAUUGUAAUGGCACUCACUUUUAUUUCCUCACUCGCUAUUCACUCCUUAACCUCAUGUUCUUCGAAUUCAAAGACUCCUCCAAUUCGUCUGCAAGCCCCCUCCAGACCCUUUUCCAUGGUAUGCCAUAUAGACCCUAACAGACACAAUGUUAAAGGUAAUUACUUGUAUGGUUCUGUAACCAAUUCAAGUACAAGUAAUAGAAUUUAAGUUGUUACUGUUAUAGUUGUAUAUAGUAGCUUAUUGAGUUUCCUUGAAAAGGAAGAUGGUUCCCACAAGCAAUGCCUCACCAUUAGUCAAGGGUCCAAGUGUUGGAAAAACAUUGUUUCAGUCGCAUUGGCAACUGCUGCGGUUAUUAGUUUCAGCUCUGGCAUGCCCGCCAUUGCAGACCUUAAUAAGUUCGAAGCUGAAACACCUGGUGAAUUUGGGAUAGGAUCAGCUGCCCAAUUUGGUUCUGCAGACCUCAGGUCACUUCUUUGUUUUCCUUUUCUUUCUCUUUUCCAAGAUUUGUAUUGUAAGAUUUUCUGUGUUGUAUGCAAAAGGUUUAAAAUUCUAUUCCAAUCUUGAUGUACAGGAAAGCAGUGCACGUGAAUGAAAAUUUCAGGUAAUUUUCGCAUUUGAGUUCUGAAUUUAGACCAAUGUUAAUAGCAAACAGAUGAGGAGAAACUUGACUGAUAUCAGUAUGUGCAUUUUAAUUGGUACCUAUGGCUGCUAUUUGUAUUCAGUACUUCUGUUUCUUUUGCUGUUUGUUUGACUUCAGUCUUACUGAGCUUUACUACUUCUGGAACUUGUUUCAAUAUAUUGUGUACUCCGGCAUUUAUAAUCAAACUAAUCGACUGAUACAGGAGGGCCAAUUUCACAUCUGCUGAUAUGAGGGAAUCUGAUUUCAGUGGUUCAACAUUCAAUGGUGCAUACCUUGAGAAAGCUGUAGCAUAUAAGGCUAAUUUUGCUGGUAAGGUUGUUGUCAUUGAACAAUUUACUAUGUAAAUGUAAAUGGAAACCGAAAUAUGAAACAAGUGAAAGGUAGUAGAAGUAGAGAAAAAACCUUCCUUAAGAACUGAUUGUAGGAGUAAAUGUUGCCCGACGUUCAGUUCUAAAAUCUGUGAUGUAUUAGUUGGGAGCAUUCUCGACUUCUCAUAUGAACUUGUUUGCCACUUGCCAUUGGAACUCUGUUCAAACUUAAAUUAUGGCCUGCUUCCAUUUCAUUUCAAAGCUAUUCAAGGAUCAAAAUGGCUCCAAUCUGGAAUACUGGCUGCAUUCGGGAAACUUCAUUUCCUUAGCGAAGUUAGACUCAUUAGAGAAAAUGAGAAACAUAGAAAGGACUAGUAAGAAGAACUAGCAGUAACUUAUCAUGCUAUUACUCAUCUUACAGAAGAAAAAAGGACAUCAUUUACUCAUAUAUUAGUCCCUUAAAUUGCCUAAAAUUCAGAUAUAUUUCUCAUUUCCGAUAUAACACCGCCCAUGUCAAAAAUAGUUUGUUUGCACUACAUUUUGUUUUUAAAGAUAUAGAUCAGUCAGCAGUGUAAUGUUAGGGGAGUUACUAUGCUUUUACCAAAGGAAAACUGGAUUUGUUUCUAUUCUAAAUUUGAGUCAGAGGAUUAGCCAAUACAUUUUCAUUGGUCUUCAUAAUUCUACUUUACUUGCACUUAUUUGGUAUUACUUUGUUACAUCGAUCAAACUUCAAAGUUUAUUUAACCUAUAUACUGAAUCUUUUCUUAUCCAUUAUCCAUGAUCAAUAUCUUUGAUUAGGAUUCAUGUUGCUUAUUGUACCAAUAUAUACAAUCUUUUAUAACUUUAUACUUACUAAUUUUCAUAAAACUCUUAGAUUGUUAAUUUUUUUAUAACAUUUUACAGGUGCUGAUUUGAGCGACACAUUGAUGGAUCGUAUGGUAUAACUUGAAUAGCAUAGCACAAACUCCUCAACUAUUUGUUUCUGGCAUUGCUUUAGGCAUAGUUACAUUUACACUAAAGGAGUUUGUUGAGACACUGGCUUGUUUCAUUCCAUUACUCAAUGAUUAAAAUGAUCACAGGUCCUUAAUGAAGCUAAUCUCAAGGAUGCUGUGCUUGUUAGAUCGGUUCUCACUCGAAGUGAUCUUGGUGGUGCCUUAAUUGAAGGUGCUGAUUUCAGUGAUGCUGUCUUGGACCUCUCCCAGAAGCAGGUGCUGUUUAUUGCUUGUGUUUGUUGCAGAAAUAUGUUUCCUUCAAAAUCAGAUCCUAGCCUUUCUUUAUUUCCACUAAACUCUUCGGUUUACUCUUAAUCAUAUAGGCUCUAUGCAAGUAUGCAAGUGGCACUAACCCAACUACAGGGGUGAGCACAAGAACAAGCCUAGGUUGUGGGAACAGUAGACGAAAUGCUUAUGGCUCUCCCUCAUCCCCUUUGUUAAGUGCACCACCUCAGAAACUACUUAAUCGGGAUGGAAUCUGUGAUCAAGAAACUGGUCUUUGUGAUGUAAAAUGAUUCCAAUGCUAAGCAUGGUAAUUAGUUUUACCCACAUUGAAUUGAUCACAUACCACAUCCAGGUAUAUGUAUGCAGGAGAAAAGAUACUGCAGAUUGAACAAAAGCACAUGUACAUCCUUGAGGCGUCAGGAAGCCAUAUAUAUGAAACAUGUACAUUUGAAAGUUGAAACAGCAGGCAGCAAUUUUUUAUCAUCAAUCUCUGAAAGUAUUUUGGACAUAUUCUGAGGAGAAAUAGUUUCUUGACUUUCCUUCAUAAUCAUCCAAGUCUCAGACCAAAAAUAUCAUCAUCCAAGGAUGACAAGAAUCCGGGAAAUUAGCACAAGAACCACUUUUGACAUUUAAAGGCAAUUGUUAUGUUACAUCGUUUGCUGUGAUCCGCUAUGAGUCUAUAAGAACAAAGUUUGACAAAACAGACCGCAAGUAGUCACUGUGCAGUUAACACCACUAGGGCGUUCGAGUGAAACCCGGAAACUCAGUAUGACUUCGCGAAAAUGGCAACUUCCUCAGCAGGAUUGCCAGUCAUCAAACAUGUUUUAAUCCCAUGCGGCUGGUCAAAAGGAAAACACCUUAUGGUUGCCCCUGUUUCUUCUUUCACCUUCAACUCAUCUUUGUCACUGUACCAAUAAGGAUAUAUUUAGAGCUUGAUGUUAGCAUCAGACGAGCAAUUACAUUAGUAUACAUUAUGCAAUUCAUACUAUCGAAUCAACAAAGACAUCAUCAAAUGAUGAAGUUUAGACCCAAACCUAGCUGACCAAGGACCUCUUGCCCAUUUUCCCUGGGAGAUCGCAACUUUGAGUUCAUCAUAUGAGCUCACAUCCACAAUAUUGCUGCAAUAAAAACAUUCUUAUUGUUAAUGCCCCCACAACUUUUCUUAUGAAGUGUGACAAGUGAAAGAAUGGACAUCUCAUCAUAGUGAAUAGACAAGGCAUAAACCCUCGCUUUCUAGAAUCACUGGUAGUAAAUUCAUUGCAUACAUAUUGGACUAUAACCAUAACCUAGUUUGAAACAGCAAAUAUGUCUAAUUUUUAUCUUCAGGAAAUUCAUUGAGCACUAUUAAUUCUUUUUACUAGUAACAAUCGAUGAAAUCCAAUGGAUGAUAAUCAAUCUUGAGGGUUAAGACAAUACAGAGUAUUAGAGUAUCAAAUUAGAGCCAGAAAUUGCACCUAUCACGAAAUGAUUUUGCUUGUCCCAAAAGAGAUGACUGGAUCUCAUCCAACUUGUCCUUGAUAUAAGCCUCCAAAAUCAAAGGCUCCAUGGAUAUUCCAAAAACCUUCCCUUGCUUUCCAGGAACAUCUCUUCUACAUACAACCACACUCUGGCUUGAUACGUCACGAGGACCGAUUUCAAUCCUUAAAGGGACUCCCUACAAAUCAAUCAGCUAUUGAGGUGAUUGAAAACAAGAGAAUCUUUUCGUAGCAAAGUGUAAAUUGAAUCUCCAAGAGUAGCAUGCCAAAGAUACCAAUUUCUAUUUAGCAUGCCAAUGAAGAAGACAAACCUUCAUCUCCCAGAAAUUGAAUUUCCAUCCUGGUGUUCUUUGAUCAGUGUCAUCAAGUUUAACUUUAAUCCCCGCAGUGUGCAGUGCAUCCUUUACAGAUGAUGCAGCAUUGAGAACUGCUGCUUUAUCAUCUUCCUUCUUCCAAAUGGGAACGAUCACCACCUAAGAAACCAAUGUAUUCUUUUAAUAGAGAACAGAGAAGGAAUGUGUGCACUUACAAUUAGGCUCAUGCAGCAAAUAAUACAAGCACAAUCAUAUUGAACUUACAAUUAGGCUCAUACAGCAAAUCAUACAAGCACAAUCAUAUUGAACUUAAAGCAUAACAUGGCACCCUUUAUUAUGAGACCAAGGAAAACUAAUAAAUGAUCAAGUGAAGUAGGAGAAUUAUUAACCCAACUACAACAAGGCAUACUUUCUGUUUAAAAUAUUUCUUAGCUAAAUAAUGGGAGUAUAACCAUGCAAAAUCUAGAAAUGCAUCCUACACAAUAGGGAAAGGGAAUUUAUGCCAGACAUAAGGGGUAGUCCAUUUUAUUGGUAUGCUUCUGUUAUACAUUAGGGACAUGCCUUGGAAUAUAAUGAUUUAAAAUCUCCAAAUUUAGUCUUUACCUGUAUUGGAGCAAUCUUUGGGGGAAGCAUUAAACCAGUGUCGUCUCCAUGGGUCAUUAUAAUGCCACCAACAAAACGGGUACUCACAGCCCAGGAAGUCUGCCAUACAUGUUGCCUCUGUCCACUUUCAUCAGUAAACUGUACAAAGCACAUAUCUUGGUCAGUCUAGCUGAUGGCUUAUACACUUUUUUUUUUUGAUGGCUUAUACACAUUAAGAAGCCUGCAAUAGUAUAUCAAAGUACCAGUGUUCCAAAGGCACGAGAGAAGUUCUGCCCAAGAUUGUGGCUGGUUCCAGCCUGCAGUGCCUUCCGAUCACCCAUCAUAGCCUCUAUUGUGUAGGUCCUAACAGCACCAGCAAAUGUUUCCACUUUUGAUUUUCGACCUGCAAUGACAGGUAUUGCAGCUUCCUCAUAAGCAAAUUUUGUAUAUACGUCAAUCAUCUGUAUAGCCUGCAGUUUAGUAGCACACUGAAUGCAUUAGACAAGAACGACACUCAUUUAACCACUGAUUAAAGGAAAGUAGUUAAAUCAAAUAAACCUCUUUCUCUGCCUCCUCUGGAGUGGCGUGAGCAGUAUGGCCUUCCUGCCAGAGAAACUCAAGCGUCCUCACAAAAGGUUUCGUCCGCAUCUCCCAUCUUGUGACAUUUGCCCACUGAAUCAAAUUAGACACGAUAGAGAACAAAGCUUAAAGCGAAACUCCUCCACAUAAAGUUGACGCACGGCAAACAAUGCAACAAAGCAUCAUACCUGGUUCACCAUAAGCGGAAGAUCACGGUAACUAUGAAUCCACUGAGUGAACAUGUGAUUCACUAUGGUUUCACUUGUGGGUCGAACCUGCCAGAGCCCUCAAGAAGUGCAAUAUCUUAGGUCAUAGUGAAUAACACCUUCAACACUGGAACACAAAAGACUCAACAACCGAAAACACAUUACGUACCACAAGCUUUUCUUCAAGCUCCUUCCCUCCUCCAAUAGUCACAAGAGCUAAUUCAGGACUAAAACCUUCAACGUGACUAGCCUCUUUCUCUAUAAACGAGUAGGGUAUAAGCUGCACAUUUCGCCAUUUCAAGAAUCACACAUCGGCAAUCAUAAACUUUCACAUUUUUAACUGAUUAGUAAUUACCUGUGGGAAAUACAUGUUACUGUGACCGGUCUCUUUGAACUUGACAUUCAGAUAAUCCUACAAGAAGAGUAAAAUUACAAUCAAAACCCUAGAAUUGAACUUGAAAUCGAGUCACUAGUGAGUACCUGAAUGGCUUCCCAGAUAGCAUAGCCGUAGGGACGAAUCACCAUGGUUCCGCGAACGGGACCGUAAUCUGCAAGCUCCGCAUUCGCAAUGACGUCGAGGUACCAAGCGUUGAAGUCCUGUGAGCGAGGAGUGACGCCGCCUUCCUGGACUUUUUCAGUCGCCGGCACCGUGCUCUGAGCUGAGAAUCUGGCGGUGAAAGAAGGAGUUCGGAGGUGGUGACGACGGCGGAGAACCGAGGGGUAACGGCGGGAGAUGGAGGGGGAGAAGAGCGAGCUCAGAGAUGGGAGUCUCAGAGAGACGGCCAUGUUUGCUUGUUGAUAGCUCGUCUCGCUAUUUUCCUUUUCCUUUUUUUCUUGGCGUUUUAAAUGGUGGACCCCAGAGCCCGUUAAGGCCCGCGCCAAUCUGACCGCCUAGCCCUAGCACGUGUCUUCCUAGCCCUAGCCUGCUUAGUUAAAAAUAGGCCCAACUUGUUUCAGACCCAACCCACCAUUUGCCUUUUUAAAUGGUGGACCCCGCGCCAACCUGACCGCCUAGCCCUAGCACGUGUCCGUCCAGGUCGCAUGAAUUAUUAUUAUUAUUAUUUUUUUUUCUCUUAAAAUCUGGAAUUGGAAUUCAUGAGCCUUGGCUACCUUGCCGACUUGAAGACGUACUCUCCGUCUCCUCCGAGUAAUUGGACGGCGGAUCCCCUGAAACUUAACAUCCAUCGUCAUCUGUCUAAACUUAAACCUAACAUGUAUGUGUGGAAUGCCUGAAUUGAAGUUUCUGAGUCGGAAGGUUAUUGUUAGAGUCAUCGAUUGCAGGUUUGGUAUUACUUCUGUAUAUUAAUUGAUUCAUUGCUUGUUUAGUCUUGUUUAGUUUCGGAGUAGAUUGUUAGGGAUUGGGUUAAAAAGGUUGAGUAUUAUAUUAUAUCCGCAUAUCCAUUGCAGAUCCGAGCUCUAGUGAAGUUGCUCAAGUUACAGAGCUCUUGCCUCAGCAAAGAAAAUUUUUCAAACUUGCAGCAGACAAUGACAGCAACCUAUCCAGAGAUUGAGCAUGGGAUUCACCAUAAGCUUUAUCCUUUAUCAAAGCAUCACAAGCCAUGCAUCUUCAAGUUCUAAGUUCCAUAUCGUUAAAGAGGAGGGGUACGCUUACAGAGGCACCUGAAGAUGAUUUAAUUUCAUAUAAAAGAAACUUUGAUAAAGAGUACGUUGACGUCGUUGUUAUGGACAUCUCCUCGAGAAAUUGAUCGGCCGAGAGGGUGUUGCAAUAAAGUAGCGUAGUGCCUAUAUAUGAAAGCUAGCUAUAGAAAGAUCGGUGGAUAAUUCCUAACGAACGUACGUACGUAUCUAGCUUCGUAUUCCAGGCCGGUCAAGUUUGAAAACCAAUAUAUCUGCUAAAUAAGAACCGAUUGAUUAGUUGCUUGGACUUUACUUUUCUUUUACUUAAAGUGGAGAAGCAUCCAUCCGGGAAAUUCCCACCAAAAGAAGAAGGGUAUAGGUGGUGAAACAUUCAUCAUGGAUCAAGUCGUCUCCUUCGUUGGUUUGCUUCCUGGUUCUGUAACAACUACCAAACCAUUACGUAAAACCAAUCAGGGAAUGUGCCCUCCUCCCCUGUCAGCUCUCAUCCUCUUCCUCCAUGUGUGUCGCACACCAUCCUUCUCAUGAGUAAUUGAACUCUUUUGUUCUUUCCAAUGCUGUAGAGGUAAACUUCACUCAUACAGUCAUACUAGCUAGCCGGCCAGUACGUAUUUCUACCAUCCUAUCGAUCAUACCCAAAUAAUUCACUGUGCAUCUUUUUGUUAUAUGAUUGCUGCACAAACGUAUUAACUGUCCAUAUAUACGUGUAGCUAUACCAUCUCAAUUAUCCGUGAUGAUCAGAUUUAUACAUAUGUCGACGACGUCGGUCAUUCUAGUACAGUAUACAGUAUACAGACACACAAGGUCAGAUAUAUGGUUACCAAAAACUACUCACAUCAUAAGUGCAUCAGACGUAAUGAGGGCAGGAGACUACAAUAUAAUCAUCCUCGUAUUUGAUUUCAUAUGUUUGUCAAAUUCUCAUCAUCAUCACUCAUUAUAAUAGAUUUAUACGGUUUAUAGUAUAUAUUAAUAUAUGAAAGUCAAGAAAGCAGAUAAUUAAUUAAUUGAACAUGUCAGCUAAUUGCCAGCACCGACCGGAAUAAGCUAGAUUAAUGUUUGGUUUAAUUAGAAUUAGGGUCAAGUGAGGACAAAUGAAUAGCACUAGAGGCAAGUCCGGACUCCGGUAAAGGGAGCACGUUAAUGAUGAUGCUUUCACAUGGUAUUGUUUCCUUAUUCAAAUUUGUUGAUCAUGUUCAAUUAUCUUAAUUAAGACCGAAAAUUAUUCUACGCACUAAGGUGCAAGUGAACCGAGCAACUAAUAUGUAAUAUUUUGAUCUGAUCAUCCACGUCAUAUUAUCAUACAUGUAUUAAUUCUAACACUGUUAACAAAAUUGAAACUCAAACAAAUAAUCAUAAGUGUUUCUAACACAGGAAAUGUACUUGAAGUCGAAUAAGAUGUACUCUUAUCGUGAGUAUUUAAUUUGAGCGGAUCAAAAAUGAGGAUGAGAUGAAAGAAUUUAGGGUCUCUAAUACUCUUGAUUGGAUCUUCGCAUGAGGUGAUUUGAGAACUUGCACAUUAAUGGUGCAAAUACACUUUAGUGCGUAGAAUCCAUGUUUUUAAUAAACCUUAACCCUUUUCUGUCAGAAAGAACCGCACUCACUUUCAUAUAUGCUUAUCCUUUCUCGGCUUCUCUUUCUCUUCAAUGAUCGACGAGUUCAUUUCCCAAGCAAGCAUCUAUUGAGUUGAUGAGAGCACGCCCAAUGAUGAUGUCCCUUCAGAAAGCCUCAUUGCUUAAAAGGGAUUCUCAUGCUUGACUUCAACUCAAAUAAGAAGAUGCAGAUGCUCGCUCUUAGGUCAAUUUUCGAUAACGACCGCACUUAAAUUAUUUAGCUACAUGUAUAUAUGUCCCAUACUCGUUAUAAAACUCUCAAACUUGGUUCUGUCGAUAGGUAGUUGAACCCAGCUGCUAGUAUAUUUUCAACUACUUCAAGCGGGUCCAUGAAAUCCAAAUCUGCAAAACUACCUUGUUCCUCUCAAUCUUCAAGCUUCAACCGGUCGUCUUGCUGGGAAACUAAGGCAGGUGAUUCAUAUCUAAAACAAAGCUUUACGUGUUCCAUAUAUAGUUUUCUCAAAGCAUUUGCAUACCCUUAGUUAUAUAUGUCUGAGAGCUGUUGCAUGGCUUUGUGCUUUUUCCCAGCCAGUCCUAUCGAUCUGUAUAUCUGAUUUCCCAUGGUACAAGCUAUUUACAAUACUAUAAAGAAAACCGCAAUUGUGAAGAAAACAAGUUUCAUUGUUGAUUAAUAGUCACCUUCUUGCACAGGUAUGUCAAGUACGAGCUGGAAGUAAUUUCUCAGGAUAUCCAAAUUCUAAAAGUAACCUUAGUACUUACUGCAAAACAAUGAGACAUUUUGUUUUCUUAUCCAUCCGCAGAGGCAUAUUCUAACUGUGCAUGUAGUUUAACUUACACACACAGUAUAUAUAAUUAUGCAUCCUCAAUUCCUCAUCUGUCUUGGAAAGAUUUAAUUUGCAUCCUAAUUAGGAGUUCUCUGCCCAGGACCAUGAAUAACACACACACGAACACACUCCUUAUAAAUCUUCUUGCAAUUGCAUGCAUGUCUAUAUGAUCUCUCUAUACAUCUAACAAUUAUAACUCUUCCAAACUACCACCGGCCAAUGAAGUCACCAAUUCACAGAAAAUUUUGGUGUUUCUUCCAAAACACACAGCCUUUCAAUACACGCCUCUGUCAUUUCAGGUAACUGUGGUCUAAUUGAGUACCAUAUAUAUAACUGCUUCAAAAUGAAGUAUUUCAAUCAAAAUUACAGUACUAACGGGUAUAAGACUAUAAUGCAUACAAGUACAUACAAAUCAUUUUUCAGUUAAGAUUAUGUACGUAUUCAACCGCAUAUACGAUCGAUGUCUCAAAUUGGCUGUCAUGUUGUGUGUAAUGUAGUGCAUGCAUGGUUGGGGCAGCUUCUUUCCUUUUCUCAGACCACUUGUCGUACGUGUCAAAGUUUAACUAUGAAGUUCCAUGCAACCCCAAGAAUGGAAACAAUGGCUCUAACAACAUUAUAGUACAUAUGAGAUAUAGUUUCAGAUCCUAAAAGAGCUGAUAAUUUGAAAACCGGCUUUCUCUUAUGAACUUGUGUCAUUGAUUUCUCGUUCAUUUGUGCAAACUAAUUAAUUGCAGCUCCCACAUGGAUGCAAAAAUAGGAUUUUGCCAAUUUUAAACAUGCCGCAAACAACUAAUUAAUUAAUCCAGGCCAGUCUUCUUAGAACUGCAUGUACUCCUCAAUUGACAACUGAUCAGGUAUACUGUAUCAUACAUCAUCAUGCCCUUUCACAAUCGCAACUAAUAGAAUUCAUAUAUAUAUAGAUAUAGGAUUUGCAAUAAAACUUCAUAUGCAGACGCACAUCAUAAACACUUUUUGGUUUUUUAAUUUCUUUCCAAAACACUUCAUCAACCUUAACGAUGUAAAAUAAAGCAAAUUCCAUAGUAUUUCCCAGAUAAUCCAACCACGAACAUACAUAGUCCUCGAUCCUGAUCGACUAUGUUAUUUUGAUAUUAAGCAUAUCAAUUUGUACUCUAACAAUACGCUGCUUUAGCUUAUAUUAUAUAUGUAUUGAUGAUUAAUAAAAAAGGGCACAAAAGGCGAAUAGGUAAUAUAGUAAUACCAUUCUGUUUACCCUAUACAGCAACUCAAUAUAUUUCCUUUGAAGUACUGUACCGGCUCCUAUGAUUGUAAUAGGUAAUUAGUAUCUUGUAUGGACUACUUACUGUAGUAAUAUAUAUGUUUUUACGCUUAGUUUCAUUUCCAAAGAUCAAUUUGGCAACUUGAGGUGGAUGUUGAGGCGGCAUAGUCCUGUGCAAUAAUAUUUUCCGGCCUCUUGGAUUCGUUGGCUCCCAUACUCGUAUGCACUUCAUCACCCACGGGAUCAAAUACUGCUUCAUUCGAGUAAUUUGCUGUUGUUUCCUUUGAAGCUUCUUGCUGGUCAUGGCUGAGCUGUGAUGCAACAAAUUUGUCAAGAACUCGCCAAUCUGUAAGUUGAUCAUCAAGACUGUUGUCAUUAUAAAGUAGUGGUGAGGAGUUGAUCAUGAGAUUAUGUUGGUUCAUCUGCUGCACUUGCUCCUCAGGCCUGAACGUGGAAGAUGGCAUGACAUGACAUCCAUUGUUCCUAAGAUGAUGAUCAUAAGUGCCAUAUUGAGCAACCUUGGGGCUUUCUAAUUGAGGGAGCUGGAGAAAAGAAUCAGGAUGAGGAGGCACAGGAAUAGCGUUGUACUGCAAAUGAUGAUCAAGUUCUUGUUUGCAGUUGGAAUAAAGCUGUUGAUGAUAUGAUGAUGAUGAUGAUGUUGUUGUAUAAGCAGGGUUUGGAAACAUAUUUGUCCUUGGAGAAUCAAGUUCGGGCAUGAAUGAGGAGCUUUGGUCAUACCAACAUGGUGACUCGUAAUCACCCAUUCUCCUUACUGUUGCCAAUCGUUUCUUGAACACCCUACAGACAACCCAUCCUUCUUCCUGUAUUUAUAUAUAGACCGGUUAGGAGUUAAUUAAUUAACACCAACAUUUCACUGAUACAAUUAACUUUUCACUUUUGGUCUGAACAAAGAGAAAUAACUUUAGCUAGGUAACAAAACUUACAAAACAUAUACCUAUCUUGCACCCAAAAAACAACAAAUUACAUAGAUGUUAUGGUGUCAGGUGGUAUUUGGUGUUCUAUGUUGUCAAACUGUCAAUAAUCCAAAUUGAUAGUUUGUUAAGCUUAACAUCAAGUAAGAUGCAAUGCACAAAAAGUGUUACUUCUUUUUUUGGUCGAAAACAAAAAGGGUUUUACUUCCAAAUGUAAAAGACUGACUAGUCUCUGAAGAAGGCGUAAACCUCGAGAAUAUUUUGAUAACUUCAGACAUCGAUUCCAUGACCUAGGUUUUCUGUUAUGCGUAUGUAAAUUGCAUUCUAACAAAUGGCUCAAAACCGCUUGAGUCUUCAAAGUAAAUGUGUUAAGUCAAGUAGACCUAAUAUCUUGUAUGCUGAUCGAGAAGUAUUCCACAAGGCCGCUAUAUCUGGCAUGUAUCUUAUAUUAUGAUGAACUCAAUGCGGUUCAUAUAAUUAUCAAUGUGAAUAAAAACUUAAAAUGGCAUGAGAGUGGAGGGUUCAAUCACGCUAUGUAUAUCCCUAUUUUAGAAAUUUGGUCAAUUUAACAGAGAAUUUACAGCUGAAAAGCUAGAGCCUGAAGAAAUUGUUAUAGACUGAGAAGAUUGAGUUGUAAAAAACUUGCCUGAGGAGGUCCAUUUUCAUUAGUUUCAAGUCGAUACUCAUGCAUGAUCCAAUCUGACUUCUGUCCAUUUGGAGCACGUCCUUUGUAAAACACCAGAGUCUUUCUCAUGCCAACUAGGUUGUGCCUGAUGUAAAUAGCUUUAUCUCUUCCGGUAGCUUUCCAAAACCCAGCUUUGGUUGCCCUAUUUGUGCGAGUUCCGGUUGGGUACUUUUUAUCUUUGUGACUGAAAAAGUACCACUCAUUCUGAUCUUCACUACCUAUUUUGCACAAUUCUGUCCAAUUGGACAACAACUGUCAGCGCGCACUCGGAAGAUAUUAAUCAAAGUCUUUUUACUCAAUUUAAUUAUUUACUUGAUCAACAAGUUUCAUGAAUUCCUACCUUGAAGAUCCCAUGGCUCAAUCUUAUAAAGAUCAACAUCUCUGAUGACAUCAAGGUCGAUCUUCUUUGAAGCAAUCUUCUUUCUGAGAUAAUAAUCAACAAGUUCUUCAUCUGUCGGGUGGAAUCUAAAGCCCGGGGGUACAUGUGAAAAGGUAUUCAUGUUCUUCAAACCUGCACAUAUAUAAAGCCAAUAAAUAACUAACAACAAUAUGUUUAUAUGCAAUUCAUAUAUGUAUGCAUAAAUUAUUUGCAACCAACGCCUCCUAAGAGUGGUAAGGGACAUGAGAACAGGAUGGAGAUUGUGAGGAUAAACAUGCAUGUAUCGCCGCCUGGUGUUUACAAUUGUGCAAAGUUUGUAUUGUCAGACCGAUGGGUGAGAGAAGAAUAGGAAGCAUGAAAAUCACAACUACGUACUGCAGUCGACAAUACAACAGUCAAGAACAAAUAAUUCGAUACCUUGUGUGUGAACCAAUAGGAAAUUGUUCGAUUAUUGAUACUGGAAACUUAUGUCAAAAGUAAUGGAGCAGCUAUUACAGUUUAUAGUCCAUGAAUUUGUGAGGAGAAACCCUAUAGGCAUGAAGAAAUCUAAAAGAUAUAGGAAUCGAAAUGUAAAUCAUGAAAGUUACCAAAAUUGAAAAAGAAUGAUUUGAUCAAGGGCAUAAAAUUUAUUUUCUUAUAUAUACCUCUUGCCAGAUUUCCUUAGAUUUUUUUACUAGAUUUUAUUACAAAGGAAAACUGAACGGAUAUACCGUCUAUAUGGAAUAAUUAAUGCAUAUAUUAUUGGAGAUUAUGAGCACCAUUAAGGAGAAAACUUACUUAAAUUGAAGAAAUGUCUAGAAUUCAAUAAAUUCAAGAACCUAUAUAUCAUGUCAUUGAGUCGAAAGGGAACCAUAAUUAAACAUGCCAAGGCACAAAAUUUCUAAAUUAGGACCUUCUUAUUACCGUUCUAAGGAAAAUUAAGGUUACCUGCUUACCUUAUUAUUUGAAUCCUGAUUCAUAAAUAAGAUGAAUAGCUGUACAGUACGGAUGAUGUUAUGAAUUGAUGAAUGUACUCACGUAUGUAUGCAAACUUAAUUAUAAUUUAACAUCUUAUGAAAGAAAACAUACAUGUUGAUAUAUUCGUAGUCAUUCAAAUUAACCUGGAUAAAUAAAAUUUUCACAGACUUCACAUAUAUUAAUGUGACCAUAAGAAAACCAGGCAUCUUAUUUUCAUUUGCUCAUAGCUAGCUAGUACUCAAGAUCGAACAAUAAAAAAAAACAAUGCAGCAAGUUACUACAUGACAAAAACAAAAUGAUUAUAUAUGCUUGUAUAGCAAGCUAGGACUCAUCUAAAUAAUUUUGCUUUAAUUUUUUAUUUUUGUAACUAUAGUAUGACAAUAUUAUUAUUCACUUGUUGGAGAUAAAGGACUAGUAUAGCUAUCAAGAUCCAUGUGUGUAAAAAAGAUAUGGUAUGGCGAGUGUAGUGCUAAAUUGUUGAAUCGAAAUUUCAUGAAAACCUACCCCAUCAAGUUGAGGAAAAGGAGAUUUUUUUUUUUUUUUUUAAUCACUUGGGUACCAAAAUUGAAAGACAAUAAAUCCAUGGAAGAUCAAUUUUCAUCCAAAGAACAAAAUGCAGACGAAGAAAUAAUUAUAAAAACAACCGUGCGUGGUUUACAUGAAAUCAUUAAAAGGAACACUAUCUCCUAACAAGAAGGCCCUAGCUUCAACAAAUUUGCAUUCAGUUAGCUAAGUGAUCAAUCCAUUUCCUGUGAGGCCACAGUACAGAUCGAGACGAACAAAAAGAAAAUAAAGCAAACCAAAUAGAGAACAAAAGAAGAGGAAGAAGACCUUUAUGAUAAGUAAUGAUAAUGAAGAAGACGAAGAAGAAGAGGAAGAUCGAGGAAGAAGAAGAAGCAGAGAUUAGAGAUGAUAACAACCUUGGCUAAAUUUGCUGCAGUACAGAUCUGAUUGAACCAGAACCUCGUAUCCACCGAUCAGCUUAGAGAUAUAAGAUCGAGACAAGAAGGAGCUAGGUGCUGAGCUUUAGACACUCACACUUUUUUGCUGUAAAAUCCUACUGAUCGAGCAAUUGAGCAGACAAAAGAAGAAGCACAGAAAGAAAGAGAGAAACAGAAACAAACAAGCAGACAACAGAAGACCUCGGGACUUGAGCUGAUCUCUCCUCCUCAACCGAUGAACUUUGUGUUUUAAGAACUGUCUUGUCGCAAUAUAGAGAUAGAGAUCAGAUCCCGAGGAUUGGAAAAGAAGGAAAGGAAAGUGAAUUCGGAAAAGGGAAAAGGAAAGUUAAGAAUGGCAAAAUAGAGAAGAGGUUGAGUUAAAUAACAAGCAAACACAACACAACAGAAGAAAACAAAACACAUGCCCUAAUCAUAAUCCAUCCCUCUCAUAUAUACUGAUCGAUAUUACAUUACAGUUUGUUUCUCUCUCCUUUAUCUUUUCAGCGGGCUUGAUUGCUGCAAAAGCUUCGCUCAUAGAAAAAGGGAGGCGCUCAAAUGGCUCACUGAGAGAGAGAGAGAAGGGAUGUGGAGAGAGAACAAGUGUAUAACCUCCACAGCCACCCACCAGCUACUGAUGGAGACCAGAAGAGAGGGAUCAGCAGCUUCUGAAGGGGGCUUUGUCUCUCUGGGAGCGAAUGAAAAAGAUUGGACGGUGAGAUGGAGAUGAUGAGAUCGGUUUGGGUUCUCUAUCUUAAAUAUCUUAAACGACAAUGAAGGACAAAGGAUUAAAUGUAAUAAAGAGAGUGUGUUAAAGAAACUAAUUGAUGUAUGAUGAUGACGAUUAGGAUUAUAAUAUAGAGCUAGAUUUGUAAUCGAUGGAAAGGAUAUUUUUGGUAGUGGUGAGCUUGACCUCUCUCUCUCUCUCUACCUGAGGUGGAGGGGUGAUGAACAUUCUCCCGCCCAAAAAGUAAUCCCUGCCCUAGCCCCUCGCUUUCAGCUACUCCUUCUGUAGACUACUGUUUCGUUAAUUUGAGAGUUGAGGCUACACCGCGUGAUGUGCACGCCCAGAUUAAUUACAAUAGGACAGAAAUAUGAUUAUCUUGCCACCCCUUCUAGAUGCUAGCUGCAAUUUGAGACUUUGUAAGAAUUUAAGAUUUAAAAUCAGAGAUUUUCCUCUAAAAAGAUGAGAUAUGGUACUUAUGUCGAUCGAUCUAUAUAUGUUGGUUUAGAUUGUUCUAUAAUUUUUGUUAUGGAUUCUAGUUUUAAAUGACAAAUCUUUGAUUAUGAAGUUAGUAAUGUUUAGUCUACACAUAUCGUAUUGAGAAUCUGCUAACCACUUUAAUGUUAAUGGUUUAUAUCAGUUCCUAUUCAUAGCGAAGCUUCGCUCUGAAAUUAAAGUGUGAAGUUUCUUAUUUGACUCACUUUUCGGUCAUAUUUUCACAUCUCCACCGUUCUCUUUAUUAAUACUAAUGCAUAGAUCAUUCAUGCAAAAUUUCAUCGAAUUUGAUGGUCGUUUGGGUGUUCAUAAUCGUGAUAUACACACAUGCAUAGUUCUGGUCAGAUAGGUUUAUGGUCCAUUUAUUUAUUUAACCUAAUUCGGUACCUAGACGAUCAUUAAUUUGAAUGAAAUUUUACAUGAAUGAUCUAUGCAUUAGUAUCAAUAAAGAGAACGGUGGAGAUGUGAAAAUAUAAUUGAAAAGUGAGUCAAAUAAGAAACUUCACCCUUUAAUUUCAUAGCGAAACUUCGCUCUAGAUAUGAACUGUAUAUAUAUAUAUAUAUAUAUAUAUAUAUAUAUAUAUAUAUAUAUAUACCAAAAAAGUAUUGUAAUUAUUUCUUUUAGUUUCUUUUUUUAUAUGAAUUUUCAAUACUAAAAUCCUCAACUGAAAAGUUUGCAAUGUAUAACUUACUCGAGGAUCAAUUGGUUGUUCUAGCAUUAAUUAAUUAUGCAAAACUCCGUUGUCUCUUGAGCGUGUAUCAGAAGAAGCAUGUCAAGGGAGCUACGAUUGUUCAUGUUUGAGUAACCAGUGAAACAUGCAACUUAUAAACAGACUUAAUAACAACAGUAGGGAAGAUUAACGGCAACUCAAAAUCCAAUCUCUAAUCCUCGUAACACACAAUAUUAUCACCCAAAUAACUAACAAACAACACUACCAACGAACCAUUUAGCGUGAUUCAUAAAAUAUACGCUUAUUUAUAUGCUUUUGUUUAAUACAAUUAGAUCUUUUGUGACCAACCAUUACCAACACCUUACUCUAUAGAUCGAGUUGCCCUCCAAACCCUAAACAAAACCAGCUCGAUGGAGCCCGUAACAAGAAAAAAAAGAAUUACAGGAAUUCCAAAAAGUGCACAUAAACAAUGCAAGAACGUCUAGAAAGAUAGAAAACCUUAAAAAACAAAAAUUUGUAUUAUCCUAUUCGACACCAGCAAUUGCACGCGGGCUCUGGUUGGUUGGUCCGCAAUACUCUGUUCUGUAUUUCCCUUCAUGACCUGGACCCCAUUAUGAACCGACCCCUAUACAAAUACGACAGCAACACCUCUCCUCUCCUCUAAUCGGCUCGCUCGGCUCAGCUGAGCCCAUCCGUAAGCCAGGUGCGACAGUGCAACAAUGAAAGACAGGUCGUUGUGCUGCGUGAGUUUCCGUGCCCUCUCUAUGGUGGUGGAGUGUGGGACCCAUUUUUGGGGGGGGGGGGUUGGCGGAACGGAAUGAUGUCCCCGGGACUGGGUUACGUGGCGGCUGAUGGUCCGGCGUGGGCUAGCCCAAGAGAUCAUUAGGCUCACGAUUUUCUGUGCAGGCCGGUUUAUGCUUGUGGGGUCCGUCCCGUUAUCCCGUUAUGAGUCUCAAACUUUGGGGGUCCCACCAGUCUUCCCGGCCACCCUGUUCUUGGCAGGAGAAGCUUACGCUUUGCCGUGUACCCGUUCGUGUCCGUUUUAGAAUGAAGACGCGCGCGGAUUUGCUUACUUACAAGCGAAUUACAAUGGAAAUUUAGUAUUCUUACUAAACCCUAAAGCAUUUGUCAUCUCCGACCUCUUCAGGGUAAUUAAUAUUCUUAUAUAAGGCGAACUCAAAACCAUUCCUCAUAAACAGUAGAUCGUGUUACUAGACUAAAUUUUAUUGAACGAUUAUACUAACUGUUUUGUAUUAAUUUUAGGCAAACCCACCAUCGUUUUUUUCUUCAUUUUUUCCCUAGCCUGUGUAGCGGGCCGGUGCAUUGCCUUUGGGUUUUGGGGUCUUUAGGGUAAAGGAAAUGCGUUAAAUAUGAUAUAAUAGUGGGAUAAGCAUGUUUCGUUGUAACAAGCUACAGUAAAGAAAGAAGUGAAGCUAAAGUCUCAAACGUGAUCCCGGUGUCAUUUAGGACCCAUGGUUACGUGGAGUUGAGUUUGUUUUCAAGUUUAAGAUCCUAUUGGACCAAACGGGUUUUAUUACUAGCUCUUCC